GAGUUUGAUCGCUCAGGACGAACGCUGGCGGCGUGCUUAACACAUGCAAGUCGAGCGAGGCCCCUCCUUCGGGAGGGUGUCCUAGCGGCGAACGGGUGAGUAACACGUGGGCAACCUGCCCCUAGCACUGGGAUAACCCCGGGAAACCGGGGCUAAUACCGGAUACGACUCCAGAAGGCAUCUUCCGGAGUGGAAAGGGUUACUGGCUAGGGAUGGGCCCGCGGCCUAUCAGCUUGUUGGUGGGGUAACGGCCUACCAAGGCGACGACGGGUAGCCGGCCUGAGAGGGCGACCGGCCACACUGGGACUGAGACACGGCCCAGACUCCUACGGGAGGCAGCAGUGGGGAAUAUUGCACAAUGGGCGAAAGCCUGAUGCAGCGACGCCGCGUGAGGGAUGACGGCCUCGGUUGUAACUACUUCUAGCUCCGACGAAGCGAAGUAGACGGUAGGAGCGAGAAGAAGACACCGG
rnacentral:rRNA from 1 species